rfam:Asian citrus Psyllid, Diaphorina citri - Florida Strain, whole genome shotgun sequence.
GUGUCGUGAAAGACAUGGGUAGUGAGAUGGACAAUGUUACUCUCACCAAUCUCACUACUUUGUCUUUCAUGAUAAC